rnacentral:rRNA from 1 species
CACGUAGGGCGCAAGCGUUGUCCGGAAUUAUUGGGCGUAAAGAGCUCGUAGGCGGUCUGUCGCGUCGGUCGUGAAAACUUGGGGCUUAACCCUGAGCUUGCGGUCGAUACGGGCAGACUAGAGGUAUGCAGGGGAGAACGGAAUUCCUGGUGUAGCGGUGAAAUGCGCAGAUAUCAGGAGGAACACCUGCGGCGAAGGCGGGUUGCUGGGCUGAUACUGACGCUGAGGCGCGAAAGCUAGGGGAGCGAACGGG